ACCCCGACUUCGGAAGGGGUGUAUUUAUUAGAUAAAAAACCAAUGCCCUUCGGGGCUCCUUGGUGAUUCAUAAUAACUUCUCAGAUCGCAUGGCCUUGCGCCGGCGACGGUUCAUUCAAAUUUCUGCCCUAUCAACUUUCGAUGGUAAGGUAGUGGCUUACCAUGGUUUCAACGGGUAACGGGGAAUUAGGGUUCGAUUCCGGAGAAGGAGCCGGAGGAACGGCUACUACAUCCAAGGAAGGCAGCAGGCGCGCAAAUUACCCAAUCCCGACACGGGGAGGUAGUGACAAUAAAUACUGAUACAGGGCUCUUUUGGGUCUUGUAAUUGGAAUGAGUACAAUUUAAACCUCUUAACGAGGAACAAUUGGAGGGCAAGUCUGGUGGGGAUUCAGCUCCCAUGAUGCUGGCGCCAGAGAGAGUUGGGCACCUGCUGUGUGCUGGACCAACUAGUCGAGUACCCACCGAACUGAUGGGGGGGUCACCGGCGAGACAACCUGGAUCGGGGAAGGCUAAGGCGCCGAGGUGCUAUGCCGAUCCCGAGCAGAGCUGCCGCGGAGCGAUCCGUGAACAGCCUGUGUAGAGCGCGGAAAGGUGUCGGUCAGCUCACGAAGUUGGCUUAAGGGACGUGCCAUUCCCGCCCGAAAGGGCGGCUGCCAGCCGAAGCGCCCAUCACGCAAGGGCUGGCAGACUCUCGAACACGACGGGAAAGGCGAGUUGGCUGUGGGGACUGGCCGCUCUGGUAGCAGCCGCGUGGGGAUUACGUCGUGUCCGAUGGGAUGUAGAGGCCAGCAGCCGCGGUAAUACCAGCUCCAAUAGCGUAUAUUAA
rnacentral:rRNA from 1 species